UACGGAGGGUGCGAGCGUUGUCCGGAAUCACUGGGCGUAAAGCGCACGCAGGCGGAUUGAUAAGUCAGGGGUGAAAUCCCGGAGCUCAACUUCGGAAUUGCCUUUGAUACUGUCUGUCUUGAGUCCGGGAGAGGUGAGCGGAAUUCCUAGUGUAGAGGUGAAAUUCGUAGAUAUUAGGAAGAACACCAGUGGCGAAGGCGGCUCACUGGCCCGGUACUGACGCUCAUGUGCGAAAGCGUGGGGAGCAAACAGG
rnacentral:rRNA from 1 species